GUGACAUCUAAAAAUCUCUCGCUUGAGGGAAGACCGCUCCUAGCCGUUUCCUCUCACAUUCUAAUUAGGGACUGGGAUGCCGUUUCUCCGCGGUUCUCUGUGGUGCGUUCAUUGCUCUGACCGUUUCAGCCCAUCUUGGGAAGGUUGUGGGACAGGUGGGCGAUUUGUGGGGAGGUGCUAAGCAAGCAGGGCGGCCGUGGCUGGAGCGCCCCCUGCCGGAGACUGAGUAAGGAUGCCCGGGACCUUCCGCAUCCGGGUCUCGGGGUCUUUGGGGCUAGGGGGUCAACGCACCUCCUUUUCCCAGGUCACCUUGCGGACUACAUUUCCCAGCAGGCCCGGCGGAGGCUGCCGGCCCUGGAGAGUUGGCGGCGGUUCCCUCUGGGUUCUGCCAUGUGGAGUAGGGCCCCUUGCCACGCAGCGGGUGGCUUUCCUUGAGCUGGGGACGAACAACCUUAGCUUAUUGCACCCUCGGGUGUCAUGCAAGAGACACGUGGGUGCGGGGUCUCCGUAGAUAAGAGCUGGCGACGAUCAGCCGCCCGGGCAGCCGCCUUUUCCCGGAGCAGGGGGGCGAUUCUGAACACUCGCCUCCGCCGAGCCCCAUUGAUGAGGCGCGCCUUGAGCCCCGACAGCACAUGGAUGUUCAAGCUGGUUUUAGGAAAGGCAGAGGAACCAGAGAUCGAGUUGCCAACAUCCCAUGGAUCAUCGAAAAAGCAAGAGGGUUCCAGAAAAACAUCUAUUUCUGCUUUAUUGACUAUGCCAAAACCUUUGACUGUGUGGAUCACAAUAAACUGUGGAAAAUUCUGAAAGAGAUGGGAAUACCAGACCACCUGACCUGCCUCUUGGUCAGGAAGCAACAGUUAGAACUGGACAUGGAACAACAGACUGGUUCCAACUAGGAAAAGGAGUACGUCAAGGCUGUAUAUUGUUACCCUGCUUAUUUAACUCAUAUGCAGAAUACAUCAUGAGAAACGCUGGGCUGGAGGAAGCACAAGCUGGAGUCAAGAGUGCCGGGAGAAAUAUCAAUAACCUCAGAUAUGCAGAUGACACCACCCUUAUGGCAGAAAGUGAAGAAGAACUAAAGAGCCUCUUGAUGAAAGUGAAAGAGGAGAGUGAAAAAGUUGGCUUAAAGCUCAACAUUCAGAAAACGAAGAUCAUGGCAUCUGGUCCCAUCACUUAAUGACAGAUAGAUGGGGAAACAGUGGCUGACUUUAUUUUUUGGGGCUCCAAAAUCACUGCAGAUGGUGAUUGCAGCCAUGAAAUUAAAAGACGCUUACUCCUUGGAAGGAAAAUUAUGACCAACCUAGACAGCAUAUUAAAAAGCAGAGACGUUACUUUGCUAGCAAAGGUCCGUCUAGUCAAGGCUAUGGUUUUUCCAGUAGUCAUGUAUGGAUGUGAGAGUUGGACUGUAAAGAAAGCUGAGCACCGAAGAAUUGAUGCUUUUGAAGUGUGGUGUUGGAGAAGACUCUUGAGAGUCCCUUGGACUGCAAGGAAAUCCAACCAGUCCAUCCUAAAGGAGAUCAGUCCUGGGUGUUCAUUGGAAAGACUGAUGUUGAGGCUGAAACUCCAAUAAUUUGGCCACCUCAUGCGAAGAGUUGACUCAUUGGAAAAGACCCUAAUGCUGGGAAAGAUUGAGGGCAGGAGGAAAAGGGGACGACAGAGGAUGAGAUGGUUGGAUGGCAUCAUCGACUCGAUGGACAUGGGUUUGGGUGGACUCCAGGAGUUGGUGAUGGACAGGGAGGCCUGGAGUGCUGGGGUUCAUGGGGUCACAGAGUCUGCCACCACUGAGCAACUGAACUGAACUGAACUGAGCUACUGUUCCUAAGGUCUCCAGCCGAGUACUGCCUUCACCCACCACACCCCUCACACCGACCUAAACACCCGCCUUCCGUCAGGACCCUCUCUCUCUCAACUUUCCACAAGGCCACUGGGUACCCCCAGCCGGGAGACAGCUAUUUAGACUUAGAUGGUUUGGUGAAGUUAAAUUUUAUCAUCAUGUGGCAUUGAAUCCAGCUACUGAGAGCUGUGCGCACCCGAGUUCAGGACCAUGAUCUUAGUUUCUUAAUACCCUGGACCCGUGGCUCAGAAGGGAAGCACUGCAGUGAGGACCAACAGAUACUCCUUUAGUUCAAAGGUUCUCAACCUUAUGUGUGUGUUAGUUGCUCAGUUGUGUCCAGUUCUUUGCGACCCCAUGGUCUCCCGUCAGCCUCCUCUGUCCAUGGGAUUUCCCAGGCAAUAAUACUGGAGUGGGUUACCAUUUCCUUCUCCAUGGGAUCUUCCUGACCCAGGGAUCGAACAUGGGUCUCCUGCACUGUGGGCAGAUUCUUUACAGUCUGAGCCACCUGUAUGUCAUUGUAAUCCCCGGGUGCAAUGUACGCAAAAGAAUUUUGCAAAACUUCUGGGUAAUUCUAUUGUGCAGCCAGGGUUGAGAUCACUGCUUUAUCUCCUAGGGCAGAUGGGUGGGGCCUGGGAUGGCCAGAAGCACUGGGCCAGGCACCUCCAGCUGGGAGCAGCCUCCACCCUUUAUCCCAAUGUGGUUCACAAAUCACUGUUCACAUUUUGUAUGUGUCCCAGGCUGUGCGAAAAGGAAGCUCUGCCCUGUAAUAAGAAAUAUAUUUGACAGCCUUAUGUAAGGCAAUUGGGAGAAAGGCCAAGUAGGAAACAAACUAAUCCCAGCAAGGGGAAAGGAAAGCCUGGGCUAGAUGGGGAAUGUAAUGAGUUCGUCAAAAAGUUCGAUCAGGUUUUUCUGUAAGAUGGUACGGAAAAAUCCUGAUGAUCUUUUGGCCAACCCAAUAGGAGGAGACAGCUGUGAUAGUCACAGAGUAAUGGAUUAAGGUGGCUAACUAGAUCAAAGUUCUUGCAAACCUGUGACACUUUUAAUUGUCAGAAGAGCUGACUACACUGGCUAUGUCCCUGCUGACUCAGGAGCAUUCCCAGCGCUGCUGAGCUUUACCUAGGGCUCCCAAGACCAUGAACAGGCUAGAGUCAUCAAGCUUGGCUCAGGCUCAGACAUGAGCAAAUUGAACUGCAGCCAUUCAUGUUUUUAUAAGAACUUCUCCCUUAUGAAGAUCAAAGGCCCUUGCCUACAUGGGGCAUCAGCUAUGCUCCUGAUGAUGAUUCCUAUGUGAGAUUAAAAAAAUAAGCUCUGUGCAUGGUGUGAAGAUGCUCAUUCCAGCAUUUUCUAUAGUAGUGACAUAUUCCAAUAAUAAAAGGGAUGAAUAAAAUGUGGUCUUUUAAAUGAAAGAA
ensembl:lncRNA